UACGAAGGGGGCUAGCGUUGCUCGGAAUUACUGGGCGUAAAGCGCACGUAGGCGGCUCUUUAAGUCGGAGGUGAAAUCCUGGAGCUCAACUCCAGAACUGCCUUCGAUACUGAAGAGCUCGAGUCCGGGAGAGGUGAGUGGAACUGCGAGUGUAGAGGUGAAAUUUCGUAGAUAUCUGGAGGAACACCGGUGGCGAAGGCGGCUACCUGGCCCAACAUUGACACUGAGACCCGAAAGCGUGGGGAUCAAACAGG
rnacentral:rRNA from 1 species